rnacentral:tRNA from 1 species
GCUGGGGUCGCCUAGUCUGGUAUGGCGCAAGCCUGCUAAGCUUGUUGGCUUCGGCCUUCGUGGGUUCAAAUCCCACCCCCAGCG